GCGCCCGUAGCUCAACUGGAUAGAGUAACAGACUUCGAAUCUGUAGGUCGCCCGUUCGAGCCGGGCCGGGCGCA
rnacentral:tRNA from 1 species